rnacentral:rRNA from 1 species
GACGAACCGUCCGAACGUUAUUCGGAAUCAUUGGGCUUAAAGGGUGCGUAGGCGGCGCGGUAAGUCGGGUGUGAAAUCUUGGAGCUUAACUCCGAAACUGCAUUCGAUACUGCCGUGCUUGAGGACUGGAGAGGAGACUGGAAUUUACGGUGUAGCGGUGAAAUGCGUAGAUAUCGUAAGGAAGACCAGUGGCGAAGGCGGGUCUCUGGACAGUUCCUGACGCUGAGGCACGAAAGCCAGGGGAGCAAACGGG